AAAAACCGGGAGCUGAGCGUGAAGGCCUGGGCGAGCGGAAGGGUGGGAGAGAGGGGCUAGGCCGGGGAGGGAAGCGCUGGGGCCGGGGCCGGCUUUCCAGGAGCCGGCGGGAGCGGGGUGCGUAAGAGGCGGGCGAGGAAGAACCGGCGGGCAACGGGAAGGGCAGAGGUGGAUCUCUCCCUCAGCGACCCCUCUCGCCGAGUGAAGGGUCGAGGGUUUGGGGCACAAAGGGCGCAGAACGUUUUUUCCUGUGAGAGGAACAUUAAGACUCCUGGGAGGGCUGGGGCUAACGCCUCCGAGAGCCCCACCUGGUCAGCCUAGGGUUAGACGUGUAGCCAGGGUGCUGGGAGGGGGCCGCUGCUGGGCCCCAGAUAGAGGGGUAGAGGCCGCUCAAUCACGGAGCCAGGCCCCACCUGCUGUAGAAACCGCCACCGAGAGCCGGCCGGGCUUGCUGCACGCUCUGGAUUCCGCCUGCCUAUAGGCGAGGCACAAGGGACUGCGAGACCAGGCCUGAAGGCAGAGAGGUCAGCAGGCUCGGGGGCCUCUGCUCCAGCGGACAACAAGCGCACCGGGCGGGAACGGCCGCCUCCCCAGGCGCUGCAGCCUAGCUCUCAUGUGACCCACGGAACUUAGCCCCUCUGUUCUGUUUGCAUACCUGCAAAUUGUGGGCAUUCACGCCGGGACUGCCAACUCACCAGGUUAUUUAUAGUGACAAGAGAGUGAGACAGUGGGCUUGAAAGUGUUUUCCAGACCAAGGCUCUGUCCCACAUAUAGGUGGAUUAACUGUCUGGCAAAGGCAGGAAUCCAUUGAAGAGGCCAUCUCCACAUUCAGAACCAAGGUCUCUUCUUCGGCCUUUCUGACAUGGUGCCAGCCCUACUGGAGUCAGCAGGAGUCCAGCACAACAGAUGGUGGUCAGUGGUGACUUCGGCACAGGCAGUUCGUGAGGAGUGGUUGGUGGCCAUGGAGUCCUGACUGGAGUAGGUUAAAAAGAAGGAGGAAAAUCACAAGAAAGAGAGACUGGAGGCAGCCACCUCUCAACAACCCAUGAAGUGUCUGGAGCUCCACCCUCUGCUCAAGAGGAACGGCACAUGACCCAGGCCUAUGCCAAUCAGCAUUUCACAUUCCUCAUGGUUGGUUCAAAGCUUUGUAUCUGGGUACACCUGUUUCCUCCUGAGACAUGAAGGUCCUUGAGGACAUUUGCUUCCUGGAGAGAAAAUUGUCACCAAAAUUAAAAAUACAAUCUAGAGGUAGCUUUCUGAAAUCAUUUUAAACAUAAAGAGAUAUGACUUAAAAAUUUUUCAUCUGAACUGUCAAUUUCCAUAAAUAGCUUAAUAUAGUGAAAAAUUGAGAGGUUCUUGAAGCCACUAAGUCUAAUAAAAAAAUGCAAUUCCAUGGGGUUUUCGGUUUUCUGCUUUUUCCUUAGGGUCCUCAAAGAUGAGGAAGGCUUUGUCUUUGUGAGAAAGCUCAUUCUAGUCACUUCAAAACAUACUGGAAAAAUAGCAUAUGAGCUAAUUUGGUUUCUGUGACAUGAUGAUUCUAUUCCCCUAUUACCUGUCACAUGAGAGCCAGUUAGGACUAAGAAAACACCAGGGUGGUUAAAUGGUAAAUUUUAUGUUAUGCAUAUUUGGCCACUGUAUAUAUUUAAAAAUUGAGGCUCUACAGGAGCUCUUGUUUAUGUGGGCUAUGCCUAUCAAUGUUUACCUUAGUAGUCAGUAAAACUGGGAUUUUUUUUUCAAAGGAACACCAUUAUGAAUAGAUGAUGCUAACAUUGGUGUAUCCACCACUCAGCUUCAGAAAUCAAACUUUACUGAUAUCCUUGAAUCCCCAUAUGUGUCCUUCCCUGAAUGCAUUCCUUUGUCCCCCAGAAGUACAGACUAUCCAGGAUUCAGUGUUUAUCAUUCCCAUGUCUUUCUUUAUGGGUUUUCUAAAUUUAGAAUAUCCCCAGAGACAGUUUAAAAUUUUUAAGCCAAUGCAGCCAUAACACAGUAUGUGUAUUAUUUUGGAACUUUUAUUGACUUGGUUCAUCCACCCCUCCAGGUGCCAUUGGUCACCCAACCCCCUCCAAAGCAGAGGGGCAGUUCUCUCUAGUACUUUAUUAGCUGCCUUGAUGUCUUGUUUCCAGUCCCUUCAGAAAUUAUGGUGGAGAUACACACAUACACAUUAAUGGAAUAAACACUCUUCCCUCCUCUCCCUUGGGGCUCCUUCCCCCAAAGAGGUCCAUUGUCCACAAGUACUCAUUUGUGGGACUCAAUAUGUUCCCAGCCACAACAGAGCAUUACAUUAGAAUAGGAGCUAACAUGUGGGAAUCAGCAUAUGUUUAGAAUUACAUCUUACACACUGAAAAAUGCACUGGAAGAGCAGCCAUUAUUGACAGAGACGGUCCUGGCUAAUAGAUCUGCCUAGUUUUAGGCUGCUUAGGGGAACAGGGGUCCUGGAAUAAGAAGCCCCACCCCCUCCUAUGAAGAGAGGAAAGCUGGAGACAAAAAGAGGAAGCAAGAGAUGAAUUGCAAAAAACUAAUCAGAUUGCAACCUCAAGGUAACAUUUUGCAUAAUAAGUUCUAACAAUGUUUUCUUGUUUAUAUCAGCCUCCUCCUCUUAGCCUGGCUUACUAGGCUGGUGUUUAAUUCCAAUGCUUCUGGGUUAAUUUAUUCAACUUUAUUAUCCUUACUAUAGUAGCCUCCCCUAGCGUUCUCCCCUACCUCUCAAAGGUCUCAUCUAAGUGUGUAUAAAGCUGUUAAAUAGAGGAGAGGAAUCAGGAUGAACUGCACAGCAUUUUCUUAAGGCCUGUGGGUUCUGGAGCCUAUGCUUCAGCAACUGAAGCUGAACUGUGUGGUUGUUGCUAACAUUGGUGUAUCCACCACUAAGCCUCAGAAAUAAAACUUUACUGAUAUCUUUGAAUCCCAUGUGUGUCCUUCCCUGAAUGCAUUGCUUUGUCACCCAGAGGUAACAGCUAUCCAGCAUUCAGUGCUUAUCAUCCCCAUGUCUUUCUUUAUUGGUUUUCUAAAUUUGGAAUAUCCCUGGAGACAACUUUGGCAACUGAAGCUAAACUGUGAUGGUUGUUGACCUCUGAUGUGCUACUUUUUAAUCAAGAACUUAUUUUCCCUCUUUCUCUCUCAGCUCCCACAGGCCCAUUCUGGUGACUCAUGACUUGUAUACACAGAACAACAGAGAAAAGAAAAAUAGAAUUAGAUAAACAAGCAGGGGCAACAGUGAGGGCUAUGUCUUACAAAGAACCAUUUUUAAUUGAAUUCAUUUUCUCUCUUGAAAUUCUUUUUUUUUUCCCUCAAAAGUGGGAAAAAAUUCUCAAAUAACAACAGCAAACCAAGAAAGCAGCUUAGUCUGCACUGCAUUUGCAUUUCUUAGUUUCAUUCCCUAUUCAAAAAUGUCUUAGGCAAAUGUGUGGGAAUGAACAUGCACUUUAAAAUUAUGGGACCUAGUAGAUUUAAUGGAAUGAGCCCUGGAUUGGGAGCCAGGGGACCUGGCUUUGAAUGGUCCCAACCCAGGCACUUAUUUACCUUAGUUUCUUCACUUAUAAAAUUAAACACACCAUCUACUGAUGAAUGGAUAAACAAAAUGUGAUAUAUCCACAGAAGGGAAUCUUGUUCAGCUGUGAGAAGGAAUGAAGUAUGGACAUGUGCUAUAAUGUGGAUGUGCGUUAAAGACAUUAUGCUAAGUGAAAGAAGCCAGACACAAAGACCAUACAUUUCACGAUUCCACUUACAUGAAAUGUACAGAAUAGCUAAAUCUAAGGACAUAAAGUAGGUUAGCUAAUGGGUACAGGUUUCAUUCUGGGUUGAUGAAAUGUUCCAAAAUUGAUUGUGCUGAUGGUUGUAUUUAAAACUCUGCAUAUACUGAAAACCAUUUAAUUGUACAUUUUAAAUGAGUGAAUUGUAUGCUAUGUGAAUUAUAUCUCAAUAAAGUUGUUCAAAAAAAAGAGAAAAAAAUGAAACAGUGAUUUCCACCCAGCCCAGAUAUGUUGUGAAGCUCAAAUGAAUUGUUUUUACAAAUAAGAAAACCACUUAAAACUAUACAAUGAAAAUUAUUUUUAAACUUAAUUAUUUCUUAAAUUCGAGGCUGAUAUACUAAAGGAAUUUUUCCAGUGACAGUUGGCAUUUCUAUAAACCAGAAUUGUACCUCUGCUUACAGCUCUGUGGAUGAAGAUCAGGGAGGAGGAACAGUUUCAAGUUGGUGAGAGUGUUGAGGGGAGGGAAAAAAUGGCUGGUUUGUAAGAUCCUUGAGGUCAGGGAUUAUUUUUAUCUUGUUCUCUUUUGUAAUCCCAGUGCCUAGUACAAUGCCUGACUCAAUCAAUGUGAAUGAGUGAAUAAUGAAUCAAUGGUCAAACUAAUGAACUGGGGGUCUGAAUGAAAAUGAUGAGGCACUUUCACUCAGCCAAUAAACUUUUACCAGCCCACAAA